rnacentral:lncRNA from 1 species
UUGCAAUAGCCCCUAGACGCAACCCAGAUUUAUCAGGCAUAGGGCCUUGGAGUGAAGAUUUCAUACCCUAGCAAAAGUUGGUUGUGCAGUAGGGUGGGAACCACUAGCCUGCACCCACUUAUGAAACCUUGCACUAACCUUGACUUAGUGGCAUUGACUUGCCCAUACAAAUUUUGGUUUUUCACGGCAGCAAUACAGCCUGCAGGUGAGCCAUGCACCAUCCAAAACCAUUUU